GGCUAGUUUUAGAGUGGGGAGCUGAAGUGUUGGUUCAAGAGGCUUUAGUGAGAAGAGGUAAAGGUGAUGGCCCAUCUCUUUAUAUUACUGCAGUCCUGCUAGUGAAGGUGCUUCUAUAAUGUGCAAUUUGGAUUCUACAGCUACCAAGAUAGAGGUGAAGAUGAGGGCUGCUAUUCCAAGUACAAUCUUCAUUACAGAAAUCUUCAUCUGCACACCCAAAUGAAUAUACCCCAGAUUAACAAGGUCUACAGGUGUGGGUUCAGCUCUGUGAAACAUCAGCAAGAACAAAAAUCUGAAACACAGCUACAGGCUUUAAACUACUCUUUGACAAAAGAAGAAAAUGACGGAGGAAAUAAUGAUUUGCAUUUCUAUAGUAUCCCUCUCACAAUAUCAGGAUAUUCAAAACACUUUACAACUAUUGAAAUACAUCUGAAUUGUACAGAAAUCAUUGUAUACAAAAUAUGGCAGCCAACAUGUCCAUACCCUGUUCCAUCUAUCAGAACUAUGAUGUUCAAGAUUAUUUGUGUUAUUUAGUGAUGUAUGAAGGAUAAAUAGACUUGCUUUGUUUCCUGGCUUCCAAAACUUUAGGAUAACUCUUUCUGUUAAAUAGUGAAUAGACUGAUCUGGAUAUUUUCAAUUAAUCAAUUCAGUGCUACUAAGGUUGCAUAAAUUUUCAUCUUGUACUUAAUAUAUCUGAAUCUGGGUGUUAUUAAUGAAGGCAAAGGGUCCAUUCACAAGUUUAGAGCUAGUUCAAUGUGGCUUCUGAUUCAUGCUGAUGUUAAAUUCAUGGUAACUGCUUUCAUUUUCUUUGCUUAAUGUUAGGUAGAAAAAUAUGACCUCAAAAAGCUGUUGCAAACUUGCCUUUGUUCCCUCCUGGCUACUAUUUGAAAAUGACCUCCUGCCAGUCAUCCAAAGUACAGGGCCAUUUAAUAUGCAAAUUGGGGUCCAAUGAUGUAAAUCUUACCCUAAUUGGAAUUUUAGGUCAGAAGUUGAGAUGGGUACAGAGUCCAUCUUGUUCCAUGGACAAGUCAUCUCAAAGGUCUUUGCUAAUGAAUUCUUUGUCAAUUUCUUAGGCUCUCAAAAAAAAUCUGGAGCAUUACGGCCCUACUCAUCCUCCAUCCACCCCUGGCUCCCUCCCCCAGGCACCCCUAUCUUUGCCCCUGCCUCCAGUCACUGCCUUAACUAAUGAAUGUUCCCACCUCUAGUGUCCAAAAGUCAAAGUUGACUCCACGGUGUACUUUGAGUGGUUAGGCCAAACUGACCUCAAGACAAAGCAUCGUGAGAAUUUCUUUUACACGGAGUAUUAUUCUGCUUCAUGCCAAUGUUAAAUCAAAAGGUUAACUGACUUUGGAGUCUGGUUUUAAUUAAAUAUGACAACAACUGUGUCACAAAGGGAAAUAGCUUUGCAUUGAAACUAUACCCAGGGGGACCAUACUCUUAAGGACCAUCCACAAGCAUUGAACUGUAUCUAAGGGGUGGUGAAGGUUAGAAGAACUGGCAGGAGGAAGAAAAUAUUAAGUAAAUGUUUUAAGUGUUGAUUUAUGGCAUUAUGUUAAUUUUAAUGAAAAGUGAUUUACAGCUGUUUUAAUUGCAUAUUUUACCUUAUGUUGAUUAAUAAUUGAUCUAUGUGCUUCAACAAAACCAGUGAAAUUAUACUUGCUACAUAUUGCUAUAAUUCAUUAGGAUGGAAAAUUAAGAAUCAGUGGAAAGUGUUAGUAAUGCACCAUAUUAAGUCUUGUUUAAAUAACAAUACUUAAAAUCUGGUGAGAACUGACGGGGAUGGUGGUCCUGUAUUUGCAUGUAAUGAGCUUGCCUAUUAGAAAAAUCAGUGAAAAUCAUUAUUAAGAAAACUCAGUGUAAAUCAAAUACGUUGUAUUUAAUGUCUAUGAUUAAUAUUAUAAAUUUAGGUUUAAAUAAUCAUUACUGAAUUAAAAAUCCUUUGUUCAUUUCAC